rnacentral:rRNA from 1 species
AGAACGAACGCUGGCGGCAUGCCUAACACAUGCAAGUCGAACGAGAAAGUCCCGCAAGGGAUCGUAAAGUGGCGCACGGGUGCGUAACACGUGGGUAAUCUGCCCUUUAGCUUGGGAUAACCUCUCGAAAGAGAGGCUAAUACCGGAGAGACCACAGGGACAUCAGUCCUAGGGGUUAAAGGUGGGGACCGUAAGGCCUACCACUAAAGGAUGAGCUCGCGCACUAUCAGCUAGUUGGUGAGGUAAUGGCUCACCAAGGCUUUGACGGUUAGCUGGUCUGAGAGGAUGAUCAGCCACACUGGAACUGAGACACGGUCCAGACUCCUACGGGAGGCAGCAGUGGGGAAUCUUGCACAAUGGGCGAAAGCCUGAUGCAGCAAUGCCGCGUGAGUGAUGAAGGCCUUCGGGUUGUAAAUCUCUGUCGGCUGGGACAACGGGUUUAUAUUUAAUAAAUAUAGACAGUGAUGGUACAGCAAAGGAAGAGGCGGCUAACG